GAUGAACGCUGGCGGCGUGCCUAAUACAUGCAAGUCGAGCGAACAGACGAGGAGCUUGCUCCUCUGACGUUAGCGGCGGACGGGUGAGUAACACGUGGAUAACCUACCUAUAAGACUGGGAUAACUUCGGGAAACCGGAGCUAAUACCGGAUAAUAUAUUGAACCGCAUGGUUCAAUAGUGAAAGACGGUUUUGCUGUCACUUAUAGAUGGAUCCGCGCCGCAUUAGCUAGUUGGUAAGGUAACGGCUUACCAAGGCAACGAUGCGUAGCCGACCUCAGAGGGUGAUCGGCCACACUGGAACUGAGACACGGUCCAGACUCCUACGGGAGGCAGCAGUAGGGAAUCUUCCGCAAUGGGCGAAAGCCUGACGGAGCAACGCCGCGUGAGUGAUGAAGGUCUUCGGAUCGUAAAACUCUGUUAUUAGGGAAGAACAAAUGUGUAAGUAACUAUGCACGCCUUGACGGUACCUAAUCAGAAAGCCACGGCUAACUACGUG
rnacentral:rRNA from 1 species